GUACCUUUCUCAUCAUUUUGGCUAAGGUAAAGUGUAAUUUUGUUCUUAUCAGUUUAAUAUAUGAUAUGCAGAUCUUACGUUCACUUUGAUAUUAAAUUUAUUUUUUAUGAGUAUCAGAUAUGAUCGUGUGCCGUUGUAGCGCAUAGAGAUCUAAAAAGUUUUUGUUCCAAUGCAGACAACCUAGCCUAG
rfam:Zea mays cultivar B73 chromosome 6, whole genome shotgun sequence.